rnacentral:lncRNA from 1 species
GACUGCGGGAAAUGAGAAUCAAAAACCUCCCCCUCAGACUUCAAUAUAGAGCUGGAGACUCAAGAAGCAAGGCGCGGAACGCCACACAACUGCGCCGCCAACGCGCCAGGCUUUUUUACUUGAUUUUAUCUUUUCUUUUUAGUUUCUCAUCUAUUUGUUCUUUUUUUCUGCAUUUUUAAGCACCUUCUUGUACCAUCGGUACGUAAUAAAACUAUUUAUGCUCCUCUAUUCAGAGUCUUUUUCUUUUCUGUCGGAGCACGGUCUCUGGCACCAGGGUUGCUGAGCACCCCCUUUUUGGUUCCGCGUAGGGCGAGGUGAUCGCUCCAGCGAUCGCCAGCGUGGCGAUAGACACGAGGUGUAGACACACGAGUUUUACCUAGGUUCGGGCCACCCGGAGGUGUAAUACCCUACGUCCUGCUUUGAGUUGUAUUCACAAGUUUUAGUGCGUACAGAUCACCCGGGGAGUUCCCGGGUUGGCUACUUAGGUGAAUGUUGUGCUAUGUCCUAAUUACUUUGGUCGGAACUCUUUGACCGGUGGCAUCAGUCCUCCUUUUAUAGACAAAGGUAUACCACAGGUGCCAAUGCAUGCACUGUGACACGUUUCCUAGACGCGUGUCACGGCCACACGAGAUACACUUUGGUUGAUCCGCGCUGGACGCCAUGCAGCGCCCGGUCCACUGUACACGGUUGAAAAAAUGGCUCUCUGGGUAACCGCCCUAGCCUUGCUCAGCAAGACUAGGCCUGCUGAU